rnacentral:rRNA from 1 species
GACGAACGCUGGCGGCGUGCUUAACACAUGCAAGUCGAACGCUGAAGCUCAGCUUUUGUUGGGUGGAUGAGUGUCGAACGGGUUAGUAACACGUGAGUAACCUGCCCCCUUCUUUGGGAUAACGCCCGGAAACGUGUUCUCAUACUGGAUAUUCACUGGUCUUCUCAUGGGGGUUGGUGGAAAGGGUUUUUCUGGUGGGGGAGGGGCUCGUUGUCUAUCAGCUUGUUGGUUGGGUGAUGGCCUACCCCGGCUUUGACGGGUAGCUGGCCUGAGACGGUGACCGGUCACAUUGGGACGUAGAUACGGCCCAGACUGCUACGGGAGGCAGCAGUGGGGAAGAUAGCACGAUGAGCGCAAGCCUGAUGCAGCGUCGUCGCGUGGGGGAUGGUGUCCUUCGUGUUGUGAGCCUCUUUCGCGCAUGGUCAAGCCGCAACAAUGGUUGUGGUGAGGGUAGUGGGUAAAGAAGCGCCGGCUAACUACGUG